rfam:Deltaproteobacteria bacterium RIFOXYD12_FTLL_53_23 rifoxyd3_full_scaffold_2091, whole genome shotgun sequence.
GGGAGUGGGUGCAUGGUCGCUGGCGGGAGGUUACCGCCAGAGGAAAGUCCGGACUCCGCAGGGCAAGGAGGUUCGUAACCCGAACUGGGGGCGACCCCGAGGAAAGUGCCACAGAAAACAAACCGCCGGGCAACCGGUAAGGGUGAAAAGGUGGGGUAAGAGCCCACCGCUUGCCUGGCAACAGGCAAGGCACGGCAAACCCCUCCUGGAGCAAAACCAAAUAGAGAAGCGUUUGAGGGCGGCCCGCCCGAAGCUUCCGGGUAGGUUGCAAGAGAUACCGGGCAACCGGUAUCCAUAGAGAAAUGAUCAUGGCCCUUGCAAGAGGGUACAGAAUCCGGCUUAUAGCCCACUCCCUUUU